GACGAACGCUGGCGGCGUGCUUAACACAUGCAAGUCGAGCGGUAAGGCUCCUUCGGGAGUACACGAGCGGCGAACGGGUGCGUAACACGUGAGUAAUCUGCCCUUCACUUCGGGAUAACCACCGGAAACGGUGGCUAAUACCGAAUACGACCAGUCUUCGCAUGAGGUGCUGGUGGAAAGUCUUUUCGGUGCAGGAUGUGCUCGCGGCCUAUCAGCUUGUUGGUGGGGUAAUGGCCUACCAAGGCUUCGACGGGUAGCCGGCCUGAGAGGGUGACCGGCCACACUGGGAUUGAGACACGGCCCAGACUCCUACGGGAGGCAGCAGUGGGGAAUAUUGGACAAUGGGCGAAAGCCUGAUCCAGCAACGCCGCGUGAGGGAUGACGGCCUUAGGGUUGUAAACCUCUUUCAGUACCGACGAAGCGCCCUGUCGGGUGGUGACGGUAGGUACAGAAGAAGGACCGGCCAACUACGUG
rnacentral:rRNA from 1 species